GGGAGCCAUACCCUGAGGGAGGGGAGCCAUGCACGAGCAGCUUCGGGUGACAGCGCAGGUGAAGAGCAGGUGAAGCUAUUUGGGACAAUGCUGAAGAUGUUUGCUCGCACUGGGCAAUCAGGUGCAGAUCAGACCCUAGUGCUGCGACGUCUUGGAGAGUUUGGCGAUGUUGUGCGUAGCAUGGAAAACAAAAUGGACACUAUGCUGCAACAUUUCAGUGCCAAUGUGUCUUUUGGAGAGCUAUCCCUGCCAGGGGAUCUUUUACUCCCCCUAGACACCCAGAUUUGGUGUUUCUUGACAGCAUUUUGAGGGAGGAUAAAGAGCUCCAGGAACGAUUUCUUCGCUUUUUGGCUAUCAAAUGUGGGAGGGACCUGAAGACAACAGUGUGGAGAAUGCUUCAG